UACGAAGGGACCUAGCGUAGUUCGGAAUUACUGGGCUUAAAGAGCUCGUAGGUGGUUAGAAAAGUUGGUGGUGAAAUCCCAAGGCUUAACCUUGGAACUGCCCCCAAAACUUUUUGACUAGAGUAUGAUAGAGGUAAGUGGAAUUUCUAGUGUAGAGGUGAAAUUCGUAGAUAUUAGAAAGAACACCAAUUGCGAAGGCAGCUUUCUGGAUCAUUACUGACACUGAGGAGCGAAAGCAUGGGUAGCGAAGAGG
rnacentral:rRNA from 1 species